AAAAAUAAAUCCGUCAAGCAAAUAAGCAGCGUAUCUGUGUACAGACAACGCUGCUUAUUUAUUUGACGGAUAAACACACAUAAGCAUGAAGGACGAUAGUCCGGAAUGCGCAUGUGUGAAGCGAUUUCGAAAGUUCGAAGAACGGAGAAAUCGUAUUAUUUUU
rnacentral:sRNA from 1 species